rnacentral:SRP_RNA from 10 species
AAGUAAAGCAAUCUUUACUUUCCCCAGUUACUGAGGAAGCUGAGAGCUGAGGCAGGAAGGAUCACUUGAACCCAGGAGCUGUGGGCUGUAGUGUGCUAUACUAUUCGAGUGUCUGCACUAAGUUCGCCAUCAAUAUGGUGACUUCCCAAGAGUGAGGGGCCACCAGGUUGCCUAAGGAGGGGUGAACUGGCCCAAGUCAGAAACUGAGCAGGUCAAAACUCCCGUGCAGCGCUGGGCGCAGUAGCUUACACCUGUAAUCCCAGCACUUUGGGAGGCUGAGGCAGGCGGAUCACCUGAGGU